GAAAAGAAACUAACAAGGAUUCCCCUAGUAACGGCGAGUGAAGCGGGAAGAGCUCACCAUGUGAAUCUCUAUAACCAGCAAUGGUAUAGCGAAUUGUGGUCUGGAGAAGUAUUGUCGGCCGUGAAUCCGGGCCAAGUCUCUUGGAAAAGGGCAGCUGAGAGGGUGAAACUCCCGUUCUUGCCUGGAAUCAUUGCGCUCUGGCACAUGCUUUCUACGAGUCGAGUUGUUUGGGAUUACAGCUCAAAGUAUGUCGUAACUUCGAUAUAAAGCUAAAUAUUGGUGGGACACCGAUAGUGUACAAGUACCGUGAGGGAAAGAUGCAAAGAACUUUGAAAAGAGAGUUAAAGAGUACCUGAAAUUGUUAAAAGGGAAGCGAAGGAAACCAGUGUUUGGCGAAUCCAUUCUUCCCAAGCUACUUGUAGUUUGGGCGCUGUGGUUAGCAAUAGUCAGCAUUGGCUUAAUCUGGGUCAAACGUUUGGUGGGUAGGCGGCUCUUCGGAGUUAGUGCCCAUCUUUCAUGCUCUGGAUUGGGCUGAGGUCAGUCACUCUGUGCUCGUGAUGCUGGCAAAAUGGUU
rnacentral:rRNA from 1 species